rnacentral:rRNA from 1 species
UACGUAGGCAGCGAGCGUUGUUCGGAGUUACUGGGCGUAAAGCGUGCGUAGGCGGUUUUGUAAGUUUGGUGUGAAAUCUCCCGGCUUAACUGGGAGGGUGCGCCGAAAACUGCAAGGCUGGAGUGUGGGAGAGGUAGGCGGAAUUCCUGGUGUAGCGGUGAAAUGCGUAGAUAUCUGGAGGAACACCGGUGGCGAAGGCGGCGUCCUGGACCAAUACUGACACUGAGGAGCGAAAGCCAGGGGAGCAAACGGG